UGCAUUGUAGCAUAGUGGUAAGGUGCAGGGCUUGUAACCAAAAGGUUUCUGGUUCAAUUCCCUGCUGAGGCAC